UACAGAGGUCUCAAGCGUUGUUCGGAUUCAUUGGGCGUAAAGGGUGCGUAGGUGGCGGGGUAAGUCAGGUGUGAAAUCUCGAGGCUCAACCUCGAAACUGCACUUGAUACUGCCUUGCUAGAGUACUGGAGAGGAGAUUGGAAUUUACGGUGUAGCAGUGAAAUGCGUAGAUAUCGUGAGGAACACCAGAGGCGAAGGCGGCUACCUGGACAAUUGCUGACGCUCAGGCACGAAAGCGUGGGGAGCAAAAGGG
rnacentral:rRNA from 1 species